AUGAUGAGAAAUCCUUAUGUCGCUCCGCGGAGUUUCAGGAGAAACAAUAAUAAUGAAGAUAGGAAUAUAUUGAAAGACUUGUUUUGGAGCUGGUCGAGUCUCUCAACUUCCACUUCAGCCUGCUCAAUCAGAUCUAGGGAAAGGGAACCAGGAAUAGUGACUUCAUCCACAGAAGCAAAGAUAUUACAGGGGAGCAUAGCUUGA